GUGAGGAAUAUUGCGCAAUGGAGGCAACUCUGACGCAGCCAUGCCGCGUGCAGGAAGAAGGCGCUACGCGUUGUAAACUGCUUUUAACCGGGAAGAAACCCCAGGACGUGUCCUGGGUUGACGGUACCGGAGGAAUAAGCACCGGCUAACUUCGUGCCAGCAGCCGCGGUAAUACGAAGGGUGCAAGCGUUAUACGGAUUCAUUGGGUUUAAAGGGUGCGUAGGCGGAGCGUUAAGUCAGUGGUGAAAUCCUGCAGCUUAACUGUAGACUUGCCAUUGCUACUGGAGCUCUUGAGUGCGCUUGAAGUGGGCGGAAUGUGCCGUGUAGCGGUGAAAUGCUUAGAUAUGGCACAGAAAACCAAUUGCGAAGGCAGCUCACUAAGGCGAUACUGACGCUGAGGCACGAAAGCGUGGGGAUCGAACAGGAUUAGAUACCCUAGUAGUCC
rnacentral:rRNA from 1 species